CAGCCGCCGCGGGAAUACGGAGGGUGCAAGCGUUAAUCGGAAUUACUGGGCGUAAAGCGCACGCAGGCGGUCUGUCAAGUCAGAUGUGAAAUCCCCGGGCUUAACCUGGGAACUGCAUUUGAAACUGGCAGGCUAGAGUCUUGUAGAGGGGGGUAGAAUUCCAGGUGUAGCGGUGAAAUGCGUAGAGAUCUGGAGGAAUACCGGUGGCGAAGGCGGCCCCCUGGACAAAGACUGACGCUCAGGUGCGAAAGCGUGGGGAGCAAACAGGAUUAGAUACCCCUGUAGUCCCUGUCUCUUAUAC
rnacentral:rRNA from 1 species